GCUCCCCUUCGGGACCCCCUUCGGUGGCGGCCGGGACGGGGCUCCAUCGGCCCCCGGUGUCCCGGUACCCAUCGAUCCCCGGUGUCUCGGUACCCAUCCGCCCAUCGCCCCCCGGUGUCUCGGUACCCAUCGCUCCCUGCUUCCCCCCCGGUCCCGGGUCCCCACCCUGCCGGUCCCCUGCGACCCCCGCCCCGGCUCCCUGCCUUACCGGGCGGUCCCGGUGCCGUUCGCCUGCUGCCCACACAGGCGUUAGCCAGGGGGUCGCAGGGGCCACUCCUGCAGCUGUCAGCGAGCCGGCCCGACAGCCAGCGAGGGACUCGCGGCACGACGAGCACUCGGGGAAUUUCUCUUGUGCCUCCUGGACCAGUUAUUUAUAGGAGUCUCCAAAUCCAUCCACUCCAGCUGCCCGUGGACUGCACACUGACUUCCUCCCGAACAGGGAUUCCUCAGCAUCCCGGGAGCAGGACACGCACCUGUCCCUGCCCUGUCCCCUCCCAGUGCUCAGCAGACUGCUAAAAAUACUCUGAACAGACUGAGAGUGACACAUGAAUGCCACAGGGCACAGCAGAACAGCCCCAGGCAGCUGCUGUCAGGCCAAACCCACACCAGUCCCACCAGUUCCAUAACUUACAAGGAAACAGAUAAGCUACAGAGAGCUGCAAGUCCUGGAGUAUUUACACCGAGGAGGGCAGGAACAGGAGACAAAGCAACAUGUGACGAGAGGUAUUUACAGCACGGACACACAGGCCCCCCUCACCUCACGGGAACGGCAGCAGCGACAGCGCGUCAGGCCCGUGGUGCUCCGAGGCCGACAGAGAAUCUGGGCUAUUUACAUUAUCUCACAUAUUAACAGCUUUACAAACGUGUCCAGGAAGUUCAUCUCAUGUAUAUAAAAAAAAAAAGAAAAAAAAAGAAAAAAAAAAAAAAAAAGCACCAAGUGUCUGAAUAGAAA